rfam:Dipodomys ordii contig_20832, whole genome shotgun sequence.
GGGAAGGUAACUCAGUGGUAGAGUGCUUGCCUUGCAUGCAUGAGGCCCUGGGUUCGAUUCCUCAGCACCA